rnacentral:tRNA from 1 species
AUCCAGCUGGCUCAGUUAGUAGAGCAUGAGACUCUUAAUCCCAGGGUCAUUGAUUCAUACCCCAUGUAGGGUG